AAGGUUGCCAGUCUCUUUGCCUGGGCAGAGGCCUGUGCUGAAGUGGGAGCUGCAGGCUUCAGCCCCGACUGUAGGGGCAGCUGUAGGGCUGCUGCAACAUCCCCCUAUAGGAAGUGAGGGCUGGGGAGGAAAAUCAGGGAAAGCACCUGGCUGGUGUAGUCUUGCGGCUUGGGUACAGAAGUUGGUAAUUCUGUGUGUCAGAGUUCAAUCCAGGAUAUAUCACAUCUUGGGAAUUUCCUGAAAGUAUCUUAGCUUUAGCAUUUGGUGUUUGUGGUAUCGGAAACAUCUCUGAGUGGAUAUUGUUAAGGUUUUUAAUGUUUCUUGGAAUUUCUGUUUUAGUUCAUCAUUUGCAGUUUUCUGAUGAGCCCGCCACAACUACGACUUUUCCAAUAUAAUUAUCCUUACUGGAGUAUCAUCUUGGGUUACUGCAUAGGAACCUCAUCUUUCAUUUGCAUCCCCACAUAUAUAGCUUAUCGGUUGAUCAUCACUCCAGGGACAUUUAAGGAGCGUAUUAUUAAAAGUAUUACCCCGGAAACACCAACAGAAAUUCCUUGUGGGGACA
rnacentral:sRNA from 1 species